GACGAACGCUGGCGGCGUGCUUAACACAUGCAAGUCGAACGGAAAGGCCCUGCUUGCAGGGUACUCGAGUGGCGAACGGGUGAGUAACACGUGGGUGAUCUGCCCUGCACUUCGGGAUAAGCUUGGGAAACUGGGUCUAAUACCGGAUAGGAACCAUCUUUAGUGUGGUGGUUGGAAAGUUUUUUCGGUGUAGGAUGAGCUCGCGGCCUAUCAGCUUGUUGGUGGGGUAAUGGCCUACCAAGGCGGCGACGGGUAGCCGGCCUGAGAGGGUGUACGGCCACAUUGGGACUGAGAUACGGCCCAGACUCCUACGGGAGGCAGCAGUGGGGAAUAUUGCACAAUGGGCGCAAGCCUGAUGCAGCGACGCCGCGUGGGGGAUGAAGGCCUUCGGGUUGUAAACUCCUUUCGCUAGGGACGAAGCUUUGUUGUGACGGUACCUAGAUAAGAAGCACCGGCUAACUACGUG
rnacentral:rRNA from 1 species